rnacentral:rRNA from 1 species
AACGAACACUGGCGGCAGGCCUAACACAUGCAAGUCGAACGGGACCUUCGGGUCUAGUGGCGGACGGGUGAGUAACGCGUGGGAACGUGCCCUUUGGUUCGGAAUAGCCCCGGGAAACUGGGAGUAAUACCGGAUAAGCCCUACGGGGGAAAGAUUUAUCGCCAAAGGAUCGGCCCGCGUUGGAUUAGGUAGUUGGUGAGGUAAUGGCUCACCAAGCCGACGAUCCAUAGCUGGUUUGAGAGGAUGAUCAGCCACACUGGGACUGAGACACGGCCUGGAGUCGUCGGGGAGGGUGGAGCGUAGGGUCUUUGGCACUGGGGGCAAGCCUGACGAGGCGACGCCGCGUGCGCGAUGAAGGCGUUCGGGUUGUGAAGCGGUGUCGAGGGGGGGGAAGCCGCAAGGUUGAACUAUGCCUGGAGGAAGGGCGGGCUAAGUUCGUGCCAGCCGCCGCGGUAAUAC